GAAAGUAAUUAGAAGAGGGUCAGGAAUGAGUGAUAUGAUACUUUCUCUGAUGAGGUUUUAGCGAUCGAUCAAUGCUAUCAGUUUAUGUUAAUUGCUGCUCUAUCUAGAGAUCUCUUGGUGGAUUUUAUCCCCUUUCUGCUGAGGAUUGCUGAUUCUUUAGCGUCUCUCCUACAAAGUGGUGCUGAUAGGGAGCCGGAGAUUAUCGAACAGGCAGAUAUUUUUAUCGUGGUCAAAUAUUAUGAUGUAUUUGCAGAAGUAUUUGAUACGAGACCUUGUUUAUCUGCUCAAGGUGACGGUAAAACUAUGAUUUCAUCCCAAGGAUUAUGUUCAAAAAUUUAUAGCAGAGGCAUUAUCAAUCUUGCUUAGGAAUGCACCAGAAGAGCAGUUGCAGUAUGGUAUUAAAAGGAUAAUGAGUGAAGUUGUGAAGAAACCGUUGCCUACAAGAAAACUUGGUGUCAGUGCUUUACUAUGUUAUGUCAUGAGAGGGGCCUCAUCAAGGUUCCAUUCAAGAGCAGAACGAGUAUCGUGGCUAUUGAUGGACAGUGCUAUAUUGGAUUACCAGUCAUUGCUUGAACAUGCGGAGUUUCUUAUGCAAAAUAGUGUCAUGUCUUCUGGCAUUAUGAAGGCAGAGAAGGAUCAAACCAAGGCUGUUGAUAAGAUUCUGGAAUUGAUGUUAUGUAUUCUGAAUGGCCUCCACAAUAAAAAUAACAUGCCAGCCAUGUCUGACUGUUGAUUGCAAUGGGCUCCUGUAUUUAGGUCAAGGAACUCAAGCUUGCUGAAUUUUAUUAGAGAACUACUACAAAAGGACCCUUGCAUAUUAUAUAUUUUCAGAGUAAACAUCUUGAGUGCAUUGAGUGAUUUGAUAGAGACUUCAAAAGAAGAGGUUUUAUUUCUAUUACUGUCCUUCUGUGGAAUAAUGGAAGCAAAAGGGCAAGGGUCCUACUUCUCAGGCAGCACAUCUGUAGAAGUGUCUUCAAAGAUUCAGAGUUUCUUGCAGGAAGCUAUCUGCUAUUGGAUUGGGGCAAUAAAUGACAUUGUGCAUGGGGAUCCAUAAUGUAGUCAUAUUCAUGAGACUGAGUUAGUUUUGCUGUGGGAAAUGAUUAGCUGCUAUCCCCGUAUGAUUGAUAUCCCAGAGAUGUCAUCCUAUUUAAUAGAUUUGAUUGAUGCACUUGAUCGGCUACUGAUGAUUGAAGCAGGCUCCGUAGCAGGUCUUCCUAAACAAACACGGCAAAGCGGAAUUGGUGCUGCUUUGAGUUCUUAUAACAAAUCACAUCAUGGUAAAGAAUCCCAGCCUGAAGAAACAAGCAAAUUUUUGUAUCUGGCAAAAAUAUACAUAUCAUCUGCACAAGUAUUGUCUGCUGUAGGUGAUUAUUUGGAUAUUGUCUAUAGGCCUACAGUGGAAGCACACAGUAGCAAUAGGAAGUAUCAUCCAGAACUUUCUGUGGAGAAGGCUGUGGAUGCAGUAAUGAUAUUUGCUGAUAAUUUGCGCCACUCGAACAAGGGGUUACGCUUUUCAACUCUUAGAAUAUUGUGCCACUAUGAACCUCUGAGCUCUGUAGAUUCUACAAAUGAUCAAGCAGUUGGGAAGAAAACAAAAUCUGAAGUUGCUCAGGGAUCCCAUGUGGAUAGUCAGGGCAUUAAUGUUCUCCUGUUGCUUUUCUCAAUCGAGGGAACUUCUCUUUCAAUUUCUGCAAUCUGGAAAGUUAUCCUAUAGAUUUCCAGAAUACAGAUGGGUCUUCCUGCUGGCAGGGUACCUCGAGCCUAUGUAUUGAAUAACCGCUUUAGCAAUCUUUGGAAUGCCUUGCAAUUUUGUUGAGCCAGCAUGUUCAAGUUGUAUGGGAUGAAUUUAUUUUUUGUCUUGAGCAGUACCAAUCGAUAUUUCAUACAUCUAAAGAACAAGACCGUGGGAACUUACAUGAUGAGUUAAGUGGUAUGUGACAAUAGUAUUUUUGCUAUUAUAAUUUUUUAUGAGCAAAUAAAAGGGAAGGAGGGGGCAACCAAAGGUGGCUUCUCUCCCUGGGUGUGACUUUAGUAGCACCCUACCCGCUGGGAGCCGGACUUUAGUUUUUUCUAUUAUCAAUUAUUAGUUUGUUUAUUU